UUCUGCCCUCCCUAGAAUAAAUUUUGACACGCCCCCAACACAAAUCCUGGCUACGCCCAUGGGCUGAGGCACAGAAUUUUGCCACUUUGGGGCGAUUCCAGAUGGGGGUUUAAUUUGCAAAUGGACUGUUGAGAUAUGGCAAAUGCGUAAUUGGCAACAGGGGGCGUUGUGAAAAAAGAAACUUACUGGAUUCAUUCCUCUCCCCAGAAAAGGUGUCGGAUGUCAAUCAGUCUGAGGCCUGGUUAAAGGGGAACGUUUUUGCUGGGUGCCUAAAGGUGUGUAAUGAAGCCACCAGGAGAGCCUCGCUGGAGAAAGCGUUCCACAAAUGAGGAUCCACUGCAGAAAAGGCCCCGUUCUUGUGUUGCCAGACCUCUUGUGGGGGAGGCAUGCAAAAAAGGGCCUCAGCAGAUGAUCUCAGAAUCCAGGGAAAGACGAUUCACAUUCCAUACUGGGUGACACAACUCACACCUUGACUACGGGGAUGGUAGGAGGGUCAGCCAAGAGCUGGAGCCCUAAGUGAAUGUCUGCCCGAAAAAACUCCAUCGCUAACAUUUUUAAGGUUGGGUGGCCAUGUGUCAUGGCUGCUUUAGUUGAGAUUCCAGCACUG